UACGUAGGGGGCUAGCGUUGUCCGGAAUCAUUGGGCGUAAAGAGCGUGUAGGCGGCCCGGUAAGUCCGCUGUGAAAGUCAAAGGCUCAACCUUUGAAUGUCAGCGGAUACUGUCGGGCUAGAGUGCGGAAGAGGCGAGUGGAAUUCCUGGUGUAGCGGUGAAAUGCGCAGAUAUCAGGAGGAACACCGAUUGCGAAGGCAGCUCGCUGGGACGUUACUGACGCUGAGACGCGAAAGCGUGGGGAGCAAACAGG
rnacentral:rRNA from 1 species